rnacentral:tRNA from 1 species
ACUUAAAUAAUUUAAAUAUAAAAUAUUGAUUUGUGGAGUCAAAAAUAUGAUAAAGUCAUUUUAAGUC